CCGACCUUAGCUCAGUUGGUAGAGCGGAGGACUGUAGUUGGUAAACUCAAAUAGCAAUCCUUAGGUCGCUGGUUCGAAUCCGGCAGGUCGGA
rnacentral:tRNA from 2 species